rnacentral:rRNA from 1 species
CGCAACCCUCGCCUCUAGUUGCCAGCAUCGGUUGGGCACUCUAGAGGGACUGCCGGCGACAAGUCGGAGGAAGGUGGGGAUGACGUCAAAUCAUCAUGCCCCUUAUGACCUGGGCUACACACGUGCUACAAUGGGCGGUACAAAGGGCUGCGAACCCGCGAGGGGGAGCGAAUCCCAAAAAGCCGCUCUCAGUUCGGAUUGCAGGCUGCAACUCGCCUGCAUGAAGCCGGAAUCGCUAGUAAUCGCGGAUCAGCAUGCCGCGGUGAAUACGUUCCCGGGCCUU